UACGUAGGGUGCGAGCGUUGCCCGGAAUUAUUGGGCGUAAAGGGCUCGUAGGCGGUUUGUCGCGUCGGGAGUGAAAACCUCGGGCUUAACUCGGGGCUUGCUUUCGAUACGGGCAGACUGGAGGUAUGCAGGGGAGAACGGAAUUCCUGGUGUAGCGGUGAAAUGCGCAGAUAUCAGGAGGAACACCGGUGGCGAAGGCGGUUCUCUGGGCAUUACCUGACGCUGAGGAGCGAAAGUGUGGGGAGCGAACAGG
rnacentral:rRNA from 1 species